rnacentral:rRNA from 1 species
ACCUGAAACCGUGUACGUACAAGCAGUGGGAGCACAGAGCAAUCUGUGUGACUGCGUACCUUUUGUAUAAUGGGUCAGCGACUUAUAUUCUGUAGCAAGGUUAACCGAAUAGGGGAGCCGAAGGGAAACCGAGUCUUAACUGGGCGUUAAGUUGCAGGGUAUAGACCCGAAACCCGGUGAUCUAGCCAUGGGCAGGUUGAAGGUUGGGUAACACUAACUGGAGGACCGAACCGACUAAUGUUGAAAAAUUAGCGGAUGACUUGUGGCUGGGGGUGAAAGGCCAAUCAAACCGGGAGAUAGCUGGUUCUCCCCGAAAGCUAUUUAGGUAGCGCCUCGUGAAUUCAUCUCCGGGGGUAGAGCACUGUUUCGGCAAGGGGGUCAUCCCGACUUACCAACCCGAUGCAAACUGCGAAUACCGGAGAAUGUUAUCACGGGAGACACACGGCGGGUGCUAACGUCCGUCGUGAAGAGGGAAACAACCCAGACCGCCAGCUAAGGUCCCAAAGUCAUGGUUAAGUGGGAAACGAUGUGGGAAGGCCCAGACAGCCAGGAUGUUGGCUUAGAAGCAGCCAUCAUUUAAAGAAAGCGUAAUAGCUCACUGGUCGAGUCGGCCUGCGCGGAAGAUGUAACGGGGCUAAACCAUGCAC